AUACGGAGGAUCCGAGCGUUAUCCGGAUUUAUUGGGUUUAAAGGGAGCGUAGGCGGGAGGUCAAGUCAGCUGUGAAAUGUAUCUGCUUAACGGGUACACUGCAGUUGAAACUGGUUUUCUUGAGUGCGUAAGAGGCAGGCGGAAUUCGUUGUGUAGCGGUGAAAUGCUUAGAUAUGACGAGGAACUCCUAUUGCGAAGGCAGCUUGCUGGGUCGUUACUGACGCUGAUGCUCGAAGGUGCGGGGAUCAAACAGGAUUAGAUACCCUGGUAGUCCGCACAGUAAACUAUGGAUACUCUCUGCCGGCGAUAUAUUGUCGGUGGCCAAGCGAAAGCGUUAAGUAUCCCACCUGGGGAGUACGCCGGCAACGGUGAAACUCAAAGGAAUUGACGGGG
rnacentral:rRNA from 1 species